CGUUAAAUUUAGUGUAUAUAGAUAUAGAUUCUUAUAUUGAAGGGUCUUUACCUAUUUUCUUAUUUGUCAUGAAGCUUGGGUGAAACUAAGUGAGGUCCGAACCGACUGAUGUUGAAAAAUCAAUGGAUAAGUUGUGGUUAGGGGUGAAAUGCCACUCGAACCUAGAGCUAGCUGGUUCUCCUCGAAAUGCGUUGAGGCACAGCAGUUGACUGGACAUUUAGGGGUAAAGCACUGUUUCAGUGCGAGCUGCGAGAGUGGUACCAGAUUAAGGCAAACUCUUAAUACUAGAUAUAACCUCAAAAUAACGGAGGUUGAGGUCGGCUAGUGAGACGAUGGGAGAUAAGCUUCAUUGUAGAGAGGGAAACAACCUAAAUUACCAACUAAGGCCCCUAAAUAAUCGCUAAGUGAUAAAAGAGGUAGGGGUGUAGAGACAACAAUGAGGUUUGUCUAGAAGCAGCCACCCUUGAAAGAGUGCAUAAUAGCUUUUUGAUUGAGUGCUCUUGCGCCGAAGAUGAACGGGGCUAACCGAUCUACUGAAGCUGUGAGAUGUAAAAAUGUAUCGGUAGGGGAGCGUUCUACCUUAGGGGAAAGCACCUGCGUUAGUGGGAAUAGACGAAGCGGAAGCGAGAAUGCCG
rfam:Gossypium raimondii chromosome 5, whole genome shotgun sequence.